AUAUGGUAGAUCAAAGUCAACCUAAGAAUUUCUCCUCUAAUUGACGUCUACUCUUUUUAGGCUAUUAAAAGCUACUUUAUCUCCAAGCUAGUUGUUAGCAACAUGGAACAAAAGAAAAGACAAAAGUGAAAGGCCUACCAAAGAAUGGUGACACGACCAAUGCGCACAAAAUUGUUGAUCAAUGGAUUGGAACAAGUAUCCAAAGCCAAAUUGGAACCGUCCCACGUGACGAUGGCCCACUUA
rnacentral:lncRNA from 1 species